rnacentral:rRNA from 1 species
AUUGAACGCUGGCGGAAUGCUUUACACAUGCAAGUCGAACGGCAGCACGGGGGCAACCCUGGUGGCGAGUGGCGAACGGGUGAGUAAUACAUCGGAACGUGCCCAGUCGUGGGGGAUAACGUAGCGAAAGCUACGCUAAUACCGCAUACGAUCUCUGGAUGAAAGCGGGGGACCGCAAGGCCUCGCGCGAUUGGAGCGGCCGAUGGCAGAUUAGGUAGUUGGUGGGGAAAGGCUCACCAAGCCGACGAUCUGUAGCUGGUCUGAGAGGACGACCAGCCACACUGGGACUGAGACACGGCCCAGACUCCUACGGGAGGCAGCAGUGGGGAAUUUUGGACAAUGGGCGAAAGCCUGAUCCAGCCAUGCCGCGUGCAGGAUGAAGGCC